UGGAGGAGGAGGGAAAGAAUCAAAUAAGUCCCAAACCCUCACCCCUCAGGACCCCAAACUAACAACCCUAACUGUCCCUGUGGCCCCUGCUGGAGCUCGCCAGAAUAAAGUGGGAGACAAAGAGUAAGAACAUUUCAGGGAUUAUUGGAGCUGUAUUCGUCUCCGGUGUGCUGUUGGGUGCUUUUUAAUCUUCUUUCAACAAUCAUCAUUUCCCUUCAGUGAAACCACAGCAGUGCAUGUGCAUAGAUUACAUGCAAAUAAUGUCAUAUAUCACUGGGAUAAAAUGUUUAAGGUUACAGCAUGUCUGUGUGAAGCAUUUUGUUCCAAAGUAUUAUGAAACAGAAGCUCAAAGUGUAAACAUUUGGUUAUAAAAUAAUACAAAUUUCAGUGAGAGAAUGAUGUUUCACCACAAAUCAUAAAGCAACAUUUAUGAUGUUGGAAUGAAAUGCUUCAGAUGUUUCUCCAUCUGUGUAGUGUUUUUAUAAAAAUGCCUUCUGUUGUGCAUCAUCUUGCUGUAGUCUUAGCACAGUUGGUUGAAGUAUUGUUAUGUUGUGUAUUUCGGUGUCCUGCAAAAACCAUUUGCAUGUAAAAAGUCUGUUGCUUAGAAAAAUAUUCUUUUAAACAAGGUUAAUUUCCUCAAA